CAAACGAUAUAGCUGGACACCACAAUGUCAUUUCCGUUCAGAGCCACCUACCAGCUUUAAUGAUAGCAGGUUCCAAUGCUUCUUUUACUCUGCUAUCCUUUAUUGCAUAAAAAUCUUUCAUCUCUUCAGUCAGGAGGUUUCAGACCGCGCCUCUCCAGCUCUCGACGGAUCAUCUCCGGUAUUCCUUCCUCCAGGUAAAAACUUUCACUUCUUUUAAGAGCCUCUGUAGCAAUGGUGUGAGCAUAGAUGUUUUUUGCUUUUGGGAUAAAAGAAAACGUAAUCUCCUGGUAUCUGUCUUUCCGAUUCCGUAUAUCUCUGAUUAUUGCUCCAAUGAUCGAUCUAUCUGUAUUGAAACAUUGACACUUUUUGAUAAUUGUUUUUGAAUCGCCCAUUAUCUCCAUUUUGUUGAUUCCCAAACUAAUACCUAGAUUGAUUGCUUGUAAUCCUGCAUGAGCCUCUGCUGUGAAUGGAUCUUCGAUGUUGGAGUGAAGAACUGCUUGUGACGCAAGGAUCUUCCCUUCCUCGUUCCAGGCUAAUAGCCCCGAUGCCGAUGUGGACGUCUGGCUAUCAAACGCUGCGUCAAACUGAACUGUUGCUUUUCCCCUUUUGAAGAUCUGCUGAUAACUGUCAAAAGUGUGAAAGUUGAUUUCUACUGAACCAGAUGUACCAUAGACCACAGCAGAAGAGUUGCAACUGCUUUUCGUUUCCUUGGCCAAAGAUUCCGGGCACUGUUGGAAAAUAUGGCGACUGCUUUCUUCUUCACACUCGCAUCUGGGACAUUUAGUAUUCACCAGAACCCGCUUUAUUUUGAGGUUGAGGAAUGAGGGGAUAUAGUUCCAUGAAAUCCUCCAUACAAGCAUUUUGAUCUUCGAUGGAAUUUGUAAUAACCAAAGUUUUCUGUAAAAUUUAAUAGUUUCGGUCUGUAAAAGUAACUCAUUAGGAUCCAAGUUAGUCUCCUGUAAUAGUUUAUAGGCACUUCUAACUGAGAAUUCUCCAGUCGGCUCCCCUCUCCAAACUUGAAGAUCUUCAUGUCCCAUCUCCGCCAAAGGGAUCCUCAAUAUUUUCUCCGCUACAACUGGUUGGAAGAUCAUCUCGGAUGGAAAUCCUAUCACCUUGCCCCACUCUCCAGCAUAAAUCGUUUUCCAGCAGACCUUUCGCAGACCAAACACUUCUCCAAGUAAGUGAAGGAUUUCUUCUUCUUUUUCAUCAAGGGAUAGAGCUGCAAAAUCUGAUUCCAUGGGUGUUGUACGUAAGGAAUAGCAAGAGAGGAUUAUUCAAAACACUGAAGAUCUCAGCCGUCAAAUCAAGAAACUGAUGAAAAACCUAGACUUGCCAGAAGGGCAGACAGAGCCGUGCUAGGGUAGCAGACUUCACUUUAUGGGUGACAAUUUUAAAUGUUAUGGAAAGUGAAAAAAAAGUCGAAAAAAACAUAACAAAAAAACAUCGCGAAAGGGGUAUUUUAUUGUUAAUUUUAACUUUUCUGGAUCUAAAGUAACAAUAUAACUAUAAAAUAGUCACGAAAAAUAUUAUUUUGCA